AGUAUGGCAGUCUCCUCCUCCUUGUAUGCUUCACUGAAGACUGCUUUCAAUACAAAUAUCAUUUGACAUUUUUUAUCUACAUAGUUUCCUGUGGCAUGGCCCAGCAAGUCUGGAAGCCUUUCUGUCUAUACCAUCUCUAGCACUCCUACCCUCUCAUGAAAGAGGGGACACCAAUAAAUGGGAGAAAUAGGAAGUAGGAAUAUGAUCAGCAGGAGGAAAAUCCUAAUUCUUAGCUGGGCAACUGGUUCUUCUACAGAAGGAAGCUGUUAUCCUUGGAGAUACAAAUCCCAUAGGGGUAAAAUAACAAUAAAUACUACGUAACAGAUCCGCAUGGUUUGGUGUAAUUCUUUACACACUCAACUCCAUAGCUUCAGAAGGAAUUAUAUCACCUACUGCACAAAAAGCUCAAAAAACCCUCAAGAUCCCCAGUCAAUCCUUGCAUUAGCAUGUGGCAGCUCACAUCCUUUAGGGAUCACUGGUGCUGCAGAAAUACACCUCUGUGUAGAGCCAUGCUACUAGAGAAGGGUGCUAGGAAUUCCAGAGUACAACUAAUGCCCACCUCAUGCCUGCCUGUCUGUCUUUUUCUUUCUUUCUUCCUUAUCUGCUUGUUUUCUGUGUUCAUUCAGUUUUGCAAAGGGCUCCCUGAACCCCAAGAGUAAAAAUGGCUCUACAAUUCCCUGGACACAUGAAUUAAAGUCCCUCAGUCACUCAGAAUAUUGGGAAGGAGGAAAGACCACCCACGCAGCCACCCACACCCCCUGCCAGAUCACCUAGCCCUUUGAGAAAAAUAAAAAUCGGUUCACGGUCAACAUGCUUCCAUCCAAAAACCACAAAGAUGCCCGUUAAGAUUCCAAAUAACACGCAAAAGUACAGAUAGGAAAAUAUCUCCUUUUUUUGACAGAAAUGGAAUCGCAUCUGAGAUUAAAUAACUGCAGCUCUUAAACUUCCCUGAAUAGCUACAGAGAGGUCAAACGCUUGCUCUCUGAUGUGCAGCACAAGAAGGGUCAGGUGUAGCAUCUCUGGUCUUGUGAGCCACCCCCCUGAAGAUCAGGUACUAAGCUGAGCCAGGAGGACCUUCGACCUUUUUCACUGCCCAUUUCAAGAAUUGCUUCCUGCAACACUUGCUGCUCUAUGAUGCCAUUUAUCUUACAAGAGUCAACAAGACCAUAGGAAGAAAGCUCACUAUAAAUUACAUAGAUAAAAUGGAGGUGGGGAGAAAGUAUUAUGACAGUUCUGUAUUCAUAAAUGUUUACAUAUUCAUAAAUACAUGCAAGAAAGAAUUGCACAUUUACGGAAACUGUCUUGAAAAGGUAACAUUAAAACCCAGAAUAUUAAACAUUUUAACGGCAAUGGAGUUUAACUUUGUCUGUGAAAUUUCAUGAUUAACUCCACUGUCAGAGAAAGUCAUUGAGUAACUCCACCAGUCAAGAAACUUACAAGGAAAGGCCUAAGCCGUACCUUGUCCUCUGAAUAUUUAUACAGGAAAAAACACACUUUUUACUCAAAAAAACUACAGGAGAAAAGCAGAACAACUCCAAGCCAGCCAGCGACUACACAAAGAAAGAAGAUCAGUUCUACAACUUUACAGUUAAAAAAAAAUAAAUAUCUCAACAGCACACAAUUAAACCGAACUUGUUUAACUACAUUAUUAAAUCAAGAAUUCCUCUCUAACUAGUCUGUAUUUCACAAAGCUGAAAUAAAGCUAUAAAUCUCAGAAGAGAUCCAUAGGAGGAGACAUCUGUGAUCUCAGAGUUCAUAAAUUCUAAUCCUUGCCCAAGAUUAACAGUACCUAACUUAUUUCUAGCCUGUUACUGCUUUUUCAGAGAAAACUAUUCAAUUUUUUCUCGAUACUUUCACUGCUCUUGAUGGUACUUAUUAUAAAGAUACAAAGUCCCAACACAUAAAAGAUAAGUAACACCUACUCUGUGUUCAGUUUCACAGAAACACAAUUUGACAUUCCCUUUGGUAAAACCGAGCUACAUUUUCCCAACGUCGCUUUGCAAUUUCCCAACAAAAACCUUCAUCCUUUUUUUUUUUUUUUAACUAACUCUUUAGUGAUAGUAUGAUGAGUGCAGACUGAUCUACGUGGCACUCACAUCUGCAGAUACUUGCAACUAAUAUUAAGAUUUCUAAAUUACAAAAGUCUUCCAGGUACUUUAUGGGAUCAAGCUAAAAAAUGUAAUUUCUGAUUUGUAUUACAAUGUGCUAAAAUACGUUAAGAUUGAUCAGACCAUUUUUUUUCAAAGGUGGGAAUGAAAGCCAAGAGGUGGGGUAUUGAUUUGGGGUUUCAGACGAAACAACAGAAGGAUAACCCAACCUUUGUGCUCCCUGUGUAUACCCACAGCAAGGUGAUCUGACCAAACAAGUGUGAAGUGUUAAUCUCUUUGGUCUUCACUGCCAACAGAGAGGAGUGAGGCAGCAAGAUGAGUUCUUGCAAAGCCACUCACUGCAAACACAUAAAAGAUGCAAUUUCAAAGAAAAGUCUUAACUGCUUUACUGAAGGUACGGCAUCACCUAGGAAGAUCUAGCUUGACUUUCAGCUCCUACAUUAAAACUGGAAGGAGAAAACCCCUCAAGUCCGUUCCAUAGGCACACUGUACCGUUACAACAGUAGUCAGCAAGAAACACUGUGCAUGGAACACCACAGUACCGUUUUCUCCUCUUAAGCUAAAGCACAUUUGAACAGACAGCUAAGAGAAAGCAGCUCUAACUUGGAAGAUGCUCCAGGAAUUACUCUCCUGGAAAAAAAGCUGCCUAAGAAGGAAUACCCGGAGGCCGCACUGCCCCUCCUAAGCCAAGGCUAUCGGCUUGGCUUGGAGCACCGACGGCAGGCUUGGGUCAGCCAGUUUCACACGCUUUCGGGCACGAAGCAGCCAGAAGCGCCCCAGCCCUCACGGCCACAGCAGAAGCCGGGCAAAGCGGCAUCCAGGGAUCAAUUUGCAUAUUGGAGUAGGUUCAGCAGAGGGCCACAAAGAUGAUUAGAGAACUGGACCACAUGACGUAUGAGGAGGAGCUGAGUCCCACGUUCAUCAUGGAGAAGAGAUG